UACGGAGGGUGCAAGCGUUAAUCGGAAUUACUGGGCGUAAAGCGUGCGCAGGCGGUGAUGUAAGACAGGUGUGAAAUCCCCGGGCUUAACCUGGGAACUGCAUUUGUGACUGCAUCGCUGGAGUGCGGCAGAGGGGGGAUGGAAUUCCGCGUGUAGCAGUGAAAUGCGUAGAUAUGCGGAGGAACACCGAUGGCGAGGGCAAUCCCCUGGGCCUGCACUGGACGCUCAUGCACGAAAGCGUGGGGAGCAAACAGGAAUUGAGA
rnacentral:rRNA from 1 species